rnacentral:lncRNA from 1 species
GACCAAGACAAGAAGUCACUUGGAUGUCUAUCCACUCGUCAGUGACUUGCUUGAUGUUGCAGUAGUGUGACGGGUCCUUUGACCUGCGGUGCUUCGGCUACUCACAGUGAGGUUAUUGUAGUUUGACUGCACACAUACAUGGUCUCUAGCCAUAUGGUCCAUACAGUGUAGAUUGGCUGCAGUAGGUUCACUGUAGGAGUAGGGUAUGCACCUACAAGGAAUCUAUCGACCUUGAUAGAGGAGGAGUGAUCCUAUGUGAUUUGUUAGACUGAGUUCUAAAACCUUGGUCAGGGCAGUAAUAUAAA